AUCUUAGGUGCUUUACUAUUAGAAUUGUUGUUAGAAUUGUUGGUGGUUGGGUGAAUAGUUGAAUAUGAUGAGGUGGAAAUUGUAAUUGAUUUUAAUAAUAUAGAAAAUUGGGUAAUUUUUGAGGGUGAGGAAGUAGGGUUAUUACGUGAGGAUUCUAUAGGUGUAGCUCCCUUGUAUAGUUAUGGAUAUUGAUCGGUGGUAGUUGCUGGUUGAUCUCUGUUUGUUAGUAUGUAUGUUGCAAUUGAGAUUACUCUGGGGAAUAG
rnacentral:lncRNA from 1 species